rnacentral:misc_RNA from 1 species
AUAAAAGGAUACCUUCGGGUUAUACCCCAUCCGUGUCUACAUACUCUUGUUGCUUUGGCAGGCCGUGGUCUUCCACUGUGGGCUCUGCCUGCAUGUGCCUGCCAGAGGACCAAACGUCUGAAUGUUAGUGAUGUACUGAGUACUAUAUAAUAGUUA